GCUCGGGCGGCUGCAGCAUGGGGGGGCGGGGCUGGUCAUGGCAUCCCCCAUCCUGGUGGCAGAUAUAGCAGAUGUAUAAUAUGAUAAGACGUGGUUGAUUAAAGGUAGUAAGCUGUGAGAUAUCUGAACUUACGCAUCCGUUUCUAUCCAGAUGAUGCGAACUUAGUGCCCAAAUGAGGGGUUGCAAAUAGGACGUAGGUGUCCACUGAGGUCACCUGAAGGUCACCAAUAGACGGCCUUGUGUAGGGAAUAUGCAUGUGAGGUCGAGAGAGGCCCAAUGUAGUUUCUGUGGUACUGGGAAGUUACGUAAGGCUGAGUAGGACUUAAUGGGAGGGGUUGGAAGUUUUUUAAGUUGUUGAUCGGUUGAAGGUUAGUGAUUAUGAAAGCGUAGCUAUAAUUGAAAUAUGGUCAUGCUGACUUAGUAAAGUAACAUUCUGCGUAACAGAUGAUUGUUGUAGAGUCUACGCGGUGAACAUAAUAGAGAUGCUGAAACUAAAUAUACUAUGUACCUGCUGAGUCCAAUGACCUGAUGGCAGACAUACAGGACACAAUUGCCAGGAAUAUAGGCUGAGACCUGUGGAAUGCAGUAGUGUCUGUACUGAUGUAAGACCAUAAAGGUCAUAACUAUACUAAGUGGUGUCAAACACUGUAUGUAGGAGGAGACAGGUUUUCCAAUACAUCCGGUAAAAAGGCAUACUGAAGAAAUGUAUUUGGCAGUUGAUUAAUACUUUACAUACAUAUAUGGCAAGUAAAAUAACAUGGAGAGUAAUUGCUAGUACCAGACUACACAUAGAAUACAUGAGGAAAUAACCAAAUACAUGACUACAAUGCUUUAAUUGAACAUUACUACGUAAGGUACCAUGAGUAUAAUCACCCUCCUAACUAUAAGUAACAGUAAUUCCUAAACCCGCUAUAAGAUGAUAAAAUAUAGUAAGUAACGUGGCAGAAUCUGGCUGAAACACGUUUGGAUUUGGGCCGGGAAUAUAUAACACAACGCAUUAGUAGAGGAUGGCCAUAUGUGGGCCGGAGCAAUUUGGACAGAAUAGGGACGAGACAGUAUAGUCUGUUCGUUCGGCUGAAUGAGGGUCGUGUUUGCGAGGGACUGGGGGAAUCAAAGAAGUGUUGGCAUUCGUAUACCGAACGCGUGGUGACAUGCCAUAGGCCCGUGGCCCAAAACUCAGUCAUUCUGUCAACCAAAUGUCGGCCGAGGAGAUACAUGGGACUGAGGGAAGCUGGAGGAUAGUAUACCAAUGAAUAACUUGAAAGAUGAGCCUAAAGUCUGGCUGCAGGAUGUUGAGCCGGAAGCUUGCAGGAGAAGGCCUCGGUUCGGACCCCGCGGUAGAAGUGAGCCAGCAGCGGGAAAUUGGCUGAGGCAGGCGGUUAGUGCUUGGAGCUGGGUGAGAAGCUGCAGUCUGGUGACCCAGCAUCUUAGAGGUAAUUUGUGAGUGCAUAGGUAUGCCUACUGAACCAAGCGUGAACAGCCCAGUGAGAGGGGUGGCCCGAGCUUAUAUAGCCGGGUAACGCCUCCCACAAUUACAGGCCUUUCUAUAUAUAUUUGGGAGUCAAGCCAACUUUUUCCCCCCAAGUAAAUAGCUCAUGAAGCAGACAUUAGGCUGUUAGAGUAGGACCUGCCAAAGAUGGGGUUCAUUGACGUUUUAUUUUUUGCCUAGAUUAGGUGUUUUUAAAAAACUAACAAAAUCUGUCAGCACCGAAGUUGCUGUUUAGUGGAUAAGGGAGUGCACUGGAUAUUCUUUUUUAUUGCACUCUCCGACUUAACAAGAUCUCAGACUGUGCAAGCCAAGAAGUCAAGAGAGAGUGUGGAUAGUAUAAUGAAAUGCAAGUACAGAAACACUGCUACACACAACAACACACAUUACUACAUUCAAGCAGAGGAUAACACCAGUCAGUCACUCCAGAUAGUGACAAUGUACUUAAAGCUGUGCAAUAUAGUAACAGAGGUUGUCAACUAAACUUUCCCUGUGCAACAAGAUAACUGCCCCAGCAAAUCUGAGCAGCAAUAUGCUUACAAGGAAUGUUUGGGGUGGUAGCUGAGAAAAGAAUGACAAAUGAGAAGACAAACUUUACUUAUUAGUAGUUAGUAAAUAACUAAAGAUGAACCGUUUUUAUACAGCCAUG